CAGACAUAGAAAACCAAAAUAUCUCUUCUCCAUUAACUUUAAAUCUCUUAAUAGUAUUGUCCACAGGGGACCUAAAAUCUACACAAAGAAUUGAUUGGUAGGUAUUGCUGAUCAUUUUUAUAAAGGUCUUGCUGACCCUAACUGAUGGAAAUGCUCAUCACUCCAUCACCAGGUAAGACAUAAUGACUCUUCUUUGUGGACU